rnacentral:rRNA from 1 species
AUACGGAGGGUGCAAGCGUUACUCGGAAUCACUGGGCGUAAAGCGCGCGCAGGCGGCUAUUUAAGUUGGAUGUGAAAGCCUACGGCUCAACCGUAGAACUGCAUCCAAAACUAUUUAGCUAGAGUGUGGGGGAGGAAGAUGGAAUUAGUUGUGUAGGGGUAAAAUCCGUAGAGAUAACUAGGAAUACCAAAAGCGAAGGCGAUCUCCUGGAACAAUACUGACGCUAAGGCGUGAAAGCGUGGGGAGCAAACAGGAUUAGAAACCCCAGUAGUCC